rnacentral:rRNA from 1 species
GACGAACGCUGGCGGCGUGCUUAACACAUGCAAGUCGAACGGAGCGAAUGAAAGCUUGCUUUUAUGAGCUUAGUGGCAAACGGGUGAGUAACACGUAGACAACCUGCCGACAGGAUGGGGACAACAUUCCGAAAGGAAUGCUAAUACCGAAUGAAGCGGAGGAGAGGCAUCUCUCCUCCGUGAAAGAUGGCCUCUAUAUAUAAGCUAUCACCUGUUGAUGGGUCUGCGUCUGAUUAGCUGGUUGGUGAGGUAACGGCUCACCAAGGCGACGAUCAGUAGCCGGUCUGAGAGGAUGAACGGCCACAUUGGGACUGAGACACGGCCCAGACUCCUACGGGAGGCAGCAGUGGGGAAUCUUCCGCAAUGGGCGCAAGCCUGACGGAGCAACGCCGCGUGAGUGAAGAAGGUCUUCGGAUCGUAAAGCUCUGUUGACGGGGACGAACGUGCGGAGUGCGAACAGCGCUU